GAUGAAGAACGUAGCGAAAUGCGAUAAGUAAUGUGAAUUGCAGAAUUCAGUGAAUCAUCGAAUCUUUGAACGCACAUUGCGCCCGCCAGUAUUCUGGCGGGCAUGCCUGUUCGAGCGUCAUUUCAACCAUCAAGCUCCCGGGCUUGCGUUGGGGCCCUGCGGCUGCCGCAGGCCCCUAAAACCAGUGGCGGGCUCGCUGUCACACCGAGCGCAGUAGCAUUUCUUCGCUCUGGGCGCGGCGGCGGGCGCUUGCCGAAAACAUACCACUUUUUAAAGGUUGACCUCGGAUCAGGUAGGAAUACCCGCUGAACUUAAGCAUAUCAAUAAGCGGAGGA
rnacentral:misc_RNA from 1 species